CUUGUGUGUGGCAUAGAAAGGGAUUCUGGAAUUCAUCACCAAGUGCCCAGGCAGAACUGAUCAUCUAAGCUAGAAAGAACAAGGUAGGGGAACCUCCAGAUGUUGCCGAGGCCCACAGAGAAGCCAAUCUGGGCCAGGAUGUACUGCAGCUUACUGUUCCAGGCCGGCCGGUCCUCUGCGUCCAGCUCCUCCUCCACCGCCUUCUGCUUGCCGCCUGUCUCACCAGCCACAUUCAGUACACUCUGCUUAUAGUCCACAGGCUCCUCGAGGGCCAGCAGGUCGGCCACGGACUCAGUGACAUGCUCACUGCUGUGCUCACGCUGGGUCACUUUGCUGUUCUUCGGCAUUGAUGCCACCUGGGCCGUGUAGCCCUGCUCCCCAGCACACAGAGAAGAUGGAAUUCAGCUGCUGUCAGCUCCUUCUCAUCCAGGGACCUAGGAAACCAGGUGAGCAGUAAAGGAUUAUCUGACCACACCAGGAAGGUGAGGAGCCCAACGUGGACACAACCCAAAUUAACUCCCCAUCACACUGUGAGGCAGGUCAAGGGCCUCAUAUAUUCAGCUUGCCCUCCCUCCCCAUCAGGGGCUGCCCAGUGAGGAGCUCAAGGCCUACAGACUCAGUUUCUCCAGAGGCUUGACCCGAGCAUUAUUUGAAAAGUAAACCUAAAGGGGCAAAAUAGGCAAAGCCAUACUCCGAACCCAAGUAGAGCGUUAUCCGUGAAGACAUUUCUCUCUUCCAUACUGCAGAGCUUAGAGUGCUCAAGCCCCU
rnacentral:lncRNA from 1 species